rnacentral:rRNA from 1 species
AGGUCAAGCGGGUAAGGGCAUACGGUGGAUGCCUUGGCAUCAAGGGCCGAUGAAGGGCGUAGCAAGGCUGCGAUAAGCCCCGGUGAGCUGUCUAGCAAGCCUAGCCGGGGAUUCCCGAAUGGGGCAACCCGCUCGGGUAAAACCUGAGCACCCCCAGCUGAACACAUAGGCUGGGUGGAGGUAAGCAGGGGAAGUGAAACAUCUCAGUACCCUGAGGAAAGGAAAUUAUUCCCUGAGUAGUGGCGAACGAAAGGGGAAAAGCCCAAACCCGGUAAGCUCAGUGGCGCCGUGGCCUAUGCUUAUCGGGGGUUGUAAGGCAGACAGGACCAAAUGCGGAAUAGGUCAGGGAGUUACCAACCAAACCCUAGUUGAAGGUCUCUGGAAAGGGCCACCAAAGACGGUGACAGUCCGGUAAACGAAAGGGGUAGACUCCUUGUCUGUUCUUGAGUACCACGGGACACGUGAAAUCCUGUGGGAAGCCGCCCUGACCACAGGGCAAGGCUGAAUACCCUUGAUGACCGAUAGUGAACUAGUACCGUGAGGGAAAGGUGAAAAGUACCCCGGGAGGGGAGUGAAAUAGACCUGAAACCGUAUGCUUACAAGCAGUCAGAGUCCUUCCAGUAAUGGAAGGAUGAUGGCGUGCCUAUUGAAGAAUGAGCCGGUGAGUUAAUCUCUGUGGCCGGUUAAGCAACUUAAGUUGUGGAGCCGAAGCGAAAGCGAGUCUGAACAGGGCGAUUUGGUCGCGGGGAUUAGACGCGAAGCCGGGUGAGCUACCCAUGGCCAGGGUGAAGCCUCGAUAGUCUCGAGGUGGAGGUCCGAACCUGUCAGCGUUGCAAAGCUGUUGGAUGAGCUGUGGGUAGAGGUGAAAUGCCAAUCGAACUCGGAGAUAGCUCGUUCUCCCCGAAAUGCAUUGAGGUGCAGCCUCAGGUUAUCGUUAAUGGUGGUAGGGCUCUGGAUGGACUAGGUGGGAGAGUAUCCCGUCAACUCCAACCAAACCAUGAAUGCCAUUAACCGCAGCCUGGGAGUGAGACUAUGGGGGAUAAACUUCAUAGUCGAGAGGGAAAUAGCCCAGACCAUCAGCUAAGGUCCCCAAGCGCAGGCUAAGUGGGAAAGGAAGUUUGAUUGCCCAGACAGCCAGGAGGUUGGCUUAGAAGCAGCCACCCUUCAAAGAGUGCGUAACAGCUCACUGGUUGAGUGGUCAUGCGCCGAUAAUCCACCGGGGCUUAAGUCUGCCACCGAAGCUAUGGAUCCCAGCUUGCUGGGAUGGUAGGGGAGCGUUCCCUUGGCGGUGAA